GGAAGAAGUUACACCUACAAGAUACAGGGGAUAUUUGGACAAAACAAAUGGCGGAACCAAAUGUUUAAAAUGGCCCAACAAUGACUCCUCUAAUUAUUGCCGGCACGAUUAUAGCAUAAAUAGCUAUCAAGAACGCAUGUACCGCUCUAUAUGGUGCUAUGUAGACGGCAAAUAUUCGCGUAACGAGGACACAAUAGUUCCUUCUGCGUGUAGUUUCAAAGAUACUGCAAGCGAUAGAUGUAGACAUGUACGUCACACAUACAGUGGAACAUGGAAUUUAACAGUAACCGGUAAAAGCUGUCAGAGAUGGGAUAUGUUCUUUUCACAAGAACAGUUCCAUCACUACUUGUUUCCUGAUGCUGACAUCAAAGAAGCUCUUAAUUACUGCCGCGAUCCAACAUCUCGGGGUUUUCUGUGGUGUUACACAUCAUACCAAGGCAGUGUAUGGGAACUUUGCAUAACUGGACGUAAGAAACUUUCAUAAUUCACACAGCAUGAAAUUAAUGCCAGUCAAACCCAGUAUCAUGACUGAUGCAGAAAAGCUGCAAUACUUUUUGCAUUACAUUUCUCUUAUCCCUUUAAAAGGCUACGUAAAUCCUUGGGGGUUGUAUAAAGAUACGUUACACCUGUACAAAUAAUAAAUAUUAAUAUCAGUUUUAAUUAUCCUUUGAAGAAAAAUAAUGUUGAUAUUGAUUUAUGAGGUUGGGUGUGAGUGUCAUUAAACGAUUUAUUAACACCUUAUAUUUGUACAAAGUAUGUUUGCUAUCAGUAUGUAUUAAAUAAUCUUGACUUUUCGUUAUAGUGUUGAUAUAUUAGUUGUUACAGUUAUAGCUACGAAUGAUUCAUAUAGAAACAUAGAACAUGAUAUUCUCCCAAUCGAGGAAUACUUUGAAUGUAAUGAUGGUCAACGUGUAUAUGCUUACAAACGUUGUAAUGGAAAGAUCGACUGUGAAAAUGUAUCCGACGAAAUUGACUGUGUCUCUGAAGUACACCCGCUCCUGCAAGACAUCCAACCGAACAAAAUAGAUUACAACAAAGAAGUUGAUUCAGCAGCAUAUUUUCGUUGUGACAGUCAAGAAUCUAUCUCAUUUCUGGCAGUUUGUGACGGUAUUUUGGAUUGCCUAGACGCCUCUGAUGAAACAAAUUGUACACACAAUCCACAUGGCACCAGUAUCUGCGCUGUAGACCAGUUUAUGUGUGAUGACGGCAGCUGUAUCCAUGUCAGUCUCGUCUGCAACUUCAUCAACGAUUGUAUCGACGAAACAGAUGAACUCUGUGAUUACCCCGUUUGUUCCUCGUAUGAAUACACGUGUGCAAGUGGACAGUGCAUACCAUUUAUUAAACGAUGCAAUGCAUAUCUUGAUUGUUAUGAUGGAACAGACGAGGAAA